rnacentral:rRNA from 2 species
UACGGAAGGUCCAGGCGUUAUCCGGAUUUAUUGGGUUUAAAGGGAGCGUAGGCCGUGGAUUAAGCGUGUUGUGAAAUGUAGACGCUCAACGUCUGAAUUGCAGCGCGAACUGGUUCACUUGAGUAUGCACAACGUAGGCGGAAUUCGUCGUGUAGCGGUGAAAUGCUUAGAUAUGACGAAGAACUCCGAUUGCGAAGGCAGCUUACGGGAGCACAACUGACGCUGAAGCUCGAAGGUGCGGGUAUCAAACAGG